AUCGGUGCCCAUGGCGCGAGGGAAACACCUGUUCCCAUGCCGAACACAGAAGUUAAGCCUCGUUGCGGUUACUAUACUGCUUUUUAGUGGGAAAAUAGCACGGUGCCGAAU
rnacentral:rRNA from 1 species